CACGUAGGGCGCAAGCGUUGUCCGGAAUUACUGGGCGUAAAGAGCUCGUAGGUGGUUUGUCGCGUUGUUCGUGAAAACUCACAGCUUAACUGUGGGCGUGCGGGCGAUACGGGCAGACUGGAGUACUGCAGGGGAGACUGGAAUUCCUGGUGUAGCGGUGGAAUGCGCAGAUAUCAGGAGGAACACCAAUGGGCGAAGGCAGCUCGCUGGAACGGAACUGACGCUGAGGCGCGAAAGCGUGGGGAGCGAACAGG
rnacentral:rRNA from 1 species